ensembl:lncRNA
CUGUGCUUGUCCUAAUAUCGACACAAUGAGGUAUGUACCGAAUUAUAACUCGGUCACAUUACUCUAAUCAGACGUCUCUUUUCCUCAACACCAGGAAUAGUUUGUUUUGAUGACCUUCUGAGUGGCCUCAGUCUGCACCUUGAGUUGGGCGAGGAGAACAUCCACUCCAUCCUACGCUACCUUCAUCGUAUCGGCAUCAUCGUGUGGUACGAGGAGAUCCCUGCUCUGAAGGAUAGGGUGUUCGUUCAGCCAUCUUUUCUCAUCUCACUCUUCAAGACCAUCGUGAGACACGACCUGGUCAAGCAGAUGGAGGCCAUCCCCAGAGACGAGCUGCGGCAAGAGGGCAACCUGUUGGUCCACCGGAGCAUGUGGGUGGAUGACUUCAAGGAGAAGGGUACCCUGCACAACGCGGCCACACGGAUCCUGGUACGCAGAGAACUGAGGCGGCUGCGGCUGGACGAGGAAGAUCUGGUGGAGGAGGUGGUGGGGAGUAAGACUAAGGAGGGGACGCUACUUAGCCUCCUGCAGCACUUUGAGGUCUGUCUCCCAGCUAAGGUGGGUAGUCCCCUGAACCCGGCGGCCCCGGAGUUCAAACCCGGGGAGAAGCAGUGGAAGUCAUCCAACUUGGCCAGGGGUGAUCUGGACGGAGCAUGUCUCUUCCCCAGCUACCUGCAGGACAAUCAAAUGGUGGUGAAGAUGUGGGGAGAAGACAAGCUGGACGAUAUAAAUGUCUGUGUUUACUUUCUACCUGAGAUCCCUCAUGGCUUUUUCCACAGGCUGGUCAUCAAGACGUGCUCCCUGUACCCGACUCACUGGAUAGGGAAGGACCACUGCCUGCUCAGCUCUGGAGACAAACUGGUGCUGAUGAGAGAGAACAAUAAAGAUGGAGACAAUGAAGAUGGAGAUCAACACAUACAGAUUCGCUGCAAGAGACCUGAGACCAGCGAGUUCCGUCGUUCUUGGGAUCUCUUCCUAUCGGUGAUGACAAAGCUAGUGUUGCUGUCUAGACAGUGGCCUGGCCUAUCCCAACAUGUCCACACCCCCUGUAAGGAGAAAGGUUGCACAGCCUACUUCGUCUGGAGAGACUGGCAGGACCUCUCAAACUCAGACAUAUAUGACCUGUAAGCCAAAUGUAUCUAACGUAAUUGUUAUUUGUCUAUUUGUCUAUGCACAACUGUAUUGUUAUUAUAUUAUUGCACUUAUUUCAAAUGAUAAUUAUGUUGUUUCUCUAUCAAUACACUAUUAAAAUACUAUUACAACUGAAGUGUGUGUGUGUGUGUGUGUGUGUGUGUGUGUGUGUGUGUGUGUGUUGAACAGUGUGCAGGAGGAAAAACAACUCUGCCGAAAUGGACACACGCGACGGACCGAAAUGCUUUUCCCAAAAGGUACCGUAUGUUUUUAAUCUUAAAGUAAGAGGGAUUACCUACCGAAUACAAUUAAUACUUCCCAUUCAAAUUCUGUGUUUUUUAGAUCCUGUUGUCAACAAAUCAAAAGGACAAUGACCAGAACCUAGAAAGCAGAACUUCAUUAGAGGGAGAUGGUUUCUCUUUCAGUGAUGUCUCCAAGUUGACUAUCUUACAAUCAAAACAUUUUCCUUAUAUGCAACAUCAAAAUAUUCACUCCUUACAGUUUGGGUUUAGGCUUGAGGUCUCAUUUAUAUUCAUAUUCAUGUUUCUCUCUCAAUAUUAUGAAAGUAUAUAUUUUUAUAUCCUACCACAGGGCAGCGCUCUUGAUCCAUUCUGAUAAAAAGAAUACUGAUGUACAGCUACACAAAACUUCAUUGCAGUCCAGAUAUCCACUUUUUGAUGCCUUAUCCUGAUACCAAAUAAAUAAUUUUAAGCCUCUGACAUGACAUAAUCCAUUUUUAUUUGUAAUAUAUUUUAUUUAUUUAUUCAAUACUUAAUUCCAGAUGUAGAAUGUAAUGGGUUACUUGAUAUCCAAUUCAUAAAUUCAGAGUGCUGAACGUUUUCUAUGAGGAUUGUACAAUUCAACAGUUUGUCUUCCAUUAAUUUCAGAACUGAAUUGAAAUGGAGUUAACCCAAGCCCUGAUGUUUUUACACUGAAGGAAUUCUCUGUAUGUUCUAUCCUGGGGGAGUGGUGCGCCUAACUGAAUUACUGUGACUUCAGAAGGUAUUCACGCCCCUUGACCUUUUCCACAUUUUGUGGUAUUACAACCUGAAUUUAAAAUGGAUUACAUUAAGAUUUUGUGUCACUGGUUUACACACAAUAUCCCAUAAUGUCAAAGUGGAAUUAUGUUUUUGAAAUGUUUACAAAUGUAUUAAAAAUUAAAAGCCAAAAUGUCUUAAGUCAAUAAGUAUUCAACC